UACGAAGGGUGCAAGCGUUACUCGGAAUUACUGGGCGUAAAGCGUGCGUAGGUGGUUUGUUAAGUCUGUUGUGAAAGCCCCGGGCUCAACCUGGGAAUGGCAGUGGAAACUAGGGGACUGGAAUCUGGCAGAGGGGGGUGGAAUGCCGCGUGUAGCAGUGAAAUGCGUAGAGAUGCGGCGGAACACCGAUGGCGAAGGCAGCCCCCUGGGCUGAGAUUGACGCUCAGGCACGAAAGCGUGGGGAGCAAACAGG
rnacentral:rRNA from 1 species